rnacentral:rRNA from 1 species
UACGUAGGGUGCGAGCGUUGUCCGGAAUUACUGGGCGUAAAGAGCUCGUAGGUGGUUUGUCGCGUUGUUCGUGAAAACUCACAGCUUAACUGUGGGCGUGCGGGCGAUACGGGCAGACUGGAGUACUGCAGGGGAGACUGGAAUUCCUGGUGUAGCGGUGGGAUGCGCAGAUAUCAGGAGGAACACCGGUGGCGAAGGCGGGUCUCUGGGCAGUAACUGACGCUGAGGAGCGAAAGCGUGGGGAGCGAACAGG